AGAGUUUGAUCCUGGCUCAGAUUGAACGCUGGCGGCAUGCCUUACACAUGCAAGUCGAACGGCAGCACGGAGCUUGCUCUGGUGGCGAGUGGCGAACGGGUGAGUAAUAUAUCGGAACGUACCCUAGAGCGGGGGAUAACGUAGCGAAAGUUACGCUAAUACCGCAUACGAUCUAAGGAUGAAAGUGGGGGAUCGCAAGACCUCAUGCUCGUGGAGCGGCCGAUAUCUGAUUAGCUAGUUGGUAGGGUAAAAGCCUACCAAGGCAUCGAUCAGUAGCUGGUCUGAGAGGACGACCAGCCACACUGGAACUGAGACACGGUCCAGACUCCUACGGGAGGCAGCAGUGGGGAAUUUUGGACAAUGGGCGAAAGCCUGAUCCAGCAAUGCCGCGUGAGUGAAGAAGGCCUUCGGGUUGUAAAGCUCUUUUGUCAGGGAAGAAACGGUGAGAGCUAAUAUCUUUUGCUAAUGACGGUACCUGAAGAAUAAGCACCGGCUAACUACGUGCCAGCAGCCGCGGUAAUACGUAGGGUGCAAGCGUUAAUCGGAGUUACUGGGCGUAAAGCGUGCGCAGGCGGUUUUGUAAGUCUGAUGUGAAAUCCCCGGGCUCAACCUGGGAAUUGCAUUGGAGACUGCAAGGCUAGAAUCUGGCAGAGGGGGGUAGAAUUCCACGUGUAGCAGUGAAAUGCGUAGAUAUGUGGAGGAACACCGAUGGCGAAGGCAGCCCCCUGGGUCAAGAUUGACGCUCAUGCACGAAAGCGUGGGGAGCAAACAGGAUUAGAUACCCUGGUAGUCCACGCCCUAAACGAUGUCUACUAGUUGUCGGGUCUUAAUUGACUUGGUAACGCAGCUAACGCGUGAAGUAGACCGCCUGGGGAGUACGGUCGCAAGAUUAAAACUCAAAGGAAUUGACGGGGACCCGCACAAGCGGUGGAUGAUGUGGAUUAAUUCGAUGCAACGCGAAAAACCUUACCUACCCUUGACAUGGCUGGAAUCCUUGAGAGAUCAGGGAGUGCUCGAAAGAGAGCCAGUACACAGGUGCUGCAUGGCUGUCGUCAGCUCGCGUCGUGAGAUGUUGGGUUAAGUCCCGCAACGAGCGCAACCCUUGUCAUUAGUUGCUACGAAAGGGCACUCUAAUGAGACUGCCGGUGACAAACCGGAGGAAGGUGGGGAUGACGUCAAGUCCUCAUGGCCCUUAUGGGUAGGGCUUCACACGUCAUACAAUGGUACAUACAGAGCGCCGCCAACCCGCGAGGGGGAGCUAAUCGCAGAAAGUGUAUCGUAGUCCGGAUUGUAGUCUGCAACUCGACUGCAUGAAGUUGGAAUCGCUAGUAAUCGCGGAUCAGCAUGUCGCGGUGAAUACGUUCCCGGGUCUUGCACUCAACGCCCGUC
rnacentral:rRNA from 1 species